CCCUAUACUCUUCUUCUACAUAUAAAUAUAUACCAUAUUCUUCUAUUUUCUUCUCACCUUGGCUAGAAUCUUGAUUAAUUCAACACCACUGAAUUUUAAUUUUCUUGGCCUCUAUAUAUCAUACUGAUACACAUAUACUUCAGCUGGUGGUAUAAUCACUGGAUCUGAUUCCCGAAAUGAAUAAUCCUACUUAAUUCUCACAAGAUUCUAAUGCAUGGUUGAUGAGGUUUCUCUCAUUAGCCACUCCCCUACUCAUGAAUUGGAUCAAAGGAAGAUGUUCUGUGCAUUUCCUUGUGGACCCUAAUAUAGUGGACUUCAUUUCGGGAGUGAGAGCCAGUGAUUAUGUCAGUGCAACUCUCGAUUCAAAAGCCUUCUAUAAACAUACUUCGAAAAAUUAAAGGAAAUUAAAGCAUCCCGUGGCGUGGGAAUGGCACUGAGAGUGAUAGAUACCACCAUACCAGGAUUGAUUCAGGGGUCCCUUCUCCUUCCACUUCUUGUCGUCGACCUAAAUAGAUUGAUGCCUCGUCCUGUGCUUUUGUCUUCGUCGUAACCUCUCUACGUGACUAGAAUUGUCACCUCACCUAACGACAACAAUCAUCUCAUCAUCGCUGCUGACAGUAGCACAUUGACGAAGACAAAGAAGAAGAUCGACAAUGCUUAAUUGUGGAUGAGAUUUGACUGGCUGGCCAGUUAGAAUCAUUUUCCAUUGAAACACACUAUUCAACCACUCUAUGCACAACUUGUCUUCGCUUGGCCCGACUGUAGAUGUUGGAUAAAAAAUCAUCUACUUGCCUAGUUCAACCGUGCGCGAUAGUGGAGGUCUUACUUACAAAUCUCACAAAAAGCCACAUUGGGACUUUCUCAUUUAGAUUUGGAUUAAUUGGCGAGUUAAGAUCAUAUUUUUCUCUUUCGUUGAAGACUACUCUUGCUUCGAUCUCUCUUGUUUCUGUUUCCAAUAGCAUAGUUGUAUGAAAUAUUUUUGAUUUCCGAUGAAGAGUAUGAGAAUUUUUGGUAGUUCGAGCGAGAUUAUAUAUUGAUGUUGGUCGAUCUACGUGGUGUUACAUUUUUUACCUUUUCAAAUUUGGAAAAGGUUGGAAGAGAUGAUAAUUUUUUUAGUUGUUUA